GCCCAGAUGAGCGCCAGUGGUCUGGUGUGCGGGCUUCAAACCCGUAGCUGAGGAAAAAUUAGAGUGGUUCGAUUCCACCUUCUGGGCG
rnacentral:tRNA from 1 species